UACGUAGGGAGCAAGCGUUGUUCGGAUUUACUGGGCGUAAAGGGCGCGUAGGCGGCAGAUCAAGUCAGCUGUGAAAUCUCCGAGCUUAACUCGGAACUGUCAGCUGAUACUGUUUUGCUAGAGUGCGGAAGGGGCAAUCGGAAUUCUUGGUGUAGCGGUGAAAUGCGUAGAUAUCAAGAGGAACACCUGAGGUGAAGACGGGUUGCUGGGCCGACACUGACGCUGAGACGCGAAAGCGUGGGGAGCGAACAGG
rnacentral:rRNA from 1 species